rnacentral:rRNA from 1 species
AUUGAACGCUGGCGGCAUGCCUUACACAUGCAAGUCGAACGGUAACAGGUUAAGCUGACGAGUGGCGAACGGGUGAGUAAUGUAUCGGAACGUGCCCAGUCGUGGGGGAUAACUGCUCGAAAGAGCAGCUAAUACCGCAUACGACCUGAGGGUGAAAGCGGGGGAUCGCAAGACCUCGCGCGAUUGGAGCGGCCGAUAUCAGAUUAGGUAGUUGGUGAGGUAAAGGCUCACCAAGCCGACGAUCUGUAGCUGGUCUGAGAGGACGACCAGCCACACUGGGACUGAGACACGGCCCAGACUCCUACGGGAGGCAGCAGUGGGGAAGUUUGGACAAUGGGCGCAAGCCUGAUCCAGCCAUGCCGCGUGCGGGAAGAAGGCCUUCGGGUUGUAAACCGCUUUUGUCAGGGAAGAAAAGGUUCUGGCUAAUACCUGGGACUCAUGACGGUACCUGAAGAAUAAGCACCGGCUAACUACGUG